UGCUACAGCGUCCUGGUCCUGUGGACCAGAAGCCUCCCUACUGCAUGGCCAGCCAGCACCACAGUGAAGGAAACUGACACCAGAGCUGACACAGGGGACACUGGGGCCCUGCUCCUGUCCCCUCCCCAGCCCCGGCUAUGCACUGACGAGUACCCAUCCCUUCUUCUAUCCUUCCUCUGCCCCAUCACCUUCCACCCCCUCUGCCACUCCCUGUCUGUCCGUCUUUACCCUCUAUGCACACACCGACUCAGACUGUGCUUCUGUCCAUCCUUCUGUCUGUCCACCCGUUGAUUCUUUCUUCUACAGCGUUUACCUGCCACCCUAGUUAGCUUUAACUGCAGACCUGGCACAACCCAGAGUCUCCGGGAAGGAAGCCUCAGUUGAGGGAUUGCCCAGGUCAGAGAGGCCUGUUGUGGGUGUGUCUGUGAGGGAUUGUCCUGAUCAUUAAUUGAUACGGGAAGGCCCAGCCCACUGCAGGCUGCACUGUUGCUAGGCGGGUGUGUCUGUACAGAAGAGAGCCAGCUGAGCAUGACUCUGAGCGAGCGAGCGGGCUAGCGAGCGAGCGAGCAGCAUUCCUCUGCGGCCUCGGCUUCUGGUUCCUGCCCUCAAUGACGAACCGCGAUCCGGAAGUGUGAGCUAUCUACGUCGCCCCUUGGAUCCUAGAGAUUGAACUCGUGUCUUCAGAUUUGGCAGGAAGCUCCUCUAGCUGCUGAACCAAGUCGCCGGCCCACAUGAAGCAUUUUCAAAGGAAGUUUCACUUGGGCCAUUUGCUUUGCGAGCUCUCCAGACACCAUGCACCGUCUACCCAGGCAGGUUCUGAAGGAAUUUGCAAGUUCCUGAGAUUAAUAUAAUGCUGCACCUGGUAUGUUCUUGUCAGAAGCUGGUUACAAAAAGGCUGCUGUGAGCAUCUGUACAGUGUCUCUCAUGGCCAUCUAUCUGAUCGCUUUGGCCAUCCUUGCAGGUGUUGAGAGGAGCCUCUAAGCAUGUCCUGAUGUGUGUUACCCUGUGAUCAAGAGUGUGAAGUGCUUUGCACAAUGGCUGGUCCUUUGCACAGACCCUGUUAUAAAGCACCAACCCGUUAUAGCA